AGGACGAACGCUGGCGGCGUGCCUAACACAUGCAAGUCGAGCGGAAAGGCCUCCUUCGGGAGGUACUCGAGCGGCGAACGGGUGAGUAACACGUGGGCAACCAACCCCUCACAUCGGGAUACCCCGGGGAAACUCGGAUCAAUACCGGAUAAUGCGCGACGCUGUUGGGCGUCGCACCAAAGGUAGCUUCGGCCUCUGGUGAGGGACGGGCCCGCGGCCCAUUAGCUUGUUGGUGGGGUAAUGGCCUACCAAGGCGACGAUGGGUAGCUGGUCUGAGAGGAUGAUCAGCCACACUGGGACUGAGAUACGGCCCAGACUCCUACGGGAGGCAGCAGUGGGGAAUAUUGCGCAAUGGGCGGAAGCCUGACGCAGCAACGCCGCGUGCGGGAGGAAGGCCUUCGGGUCGUAAACCGCUUUCAGGGGGGACGAAGCCACCAGGGUUAAUAGCCCAUGGGGUGACGGUACUCCCAGAAGAAGCCCCGGCUAACUCGUGCCAGCAGCCGC
rnacentral:rRNA from 1 species